UACGUAGGGUGCAAGCGUUGUCCGGAAUUAUUGGGCGUAAAGAGCUCGUAGGCGGUCUGUCGCGUCGGCUGUGAAAACCCGAGGCUCAACCUCGGGCCUGCAGUCGAUACGGGCAAGCUAGAGUACUGCAGGGGAGACUGGAAUUCCUGGUGUAGCGGUGAAAUGCGCAGAUAUCAGGAGGAACACCGGUGGCGAAGGCGGAUCUCUGGGCCAUUACUGACGCUGAGGAGCGAAAGCGUGGGGAGCGAACAGG
rnacentral:rRNA from 1 species